UGAAACACUGCACAGAGACGGGCAAGCACUCAGAGGCAUUUCGUUUGCCUUGAUCCUGGAGGCGGCCUUCUCCCAUUGCCGAGGAUUUGAAGCGAACUCCUGGCAGAUCAGAAAUGUUCAGGCGAACGGCGGUUAUAUUUGUCCGUGGACCCAAAACUUCGUUGACGGGCAAAUAUGGAACGCUGCAACAAGGACUGGUGUGGAUAGCGUGCUGCGCUGGUCUCGCCAAAUGAAAAGAAUUCUGGUGUGCUGUAAAUGCCGAUUGCACGAUAUGUGACUGGCCCGCGGCCGCUUUGAAGGUAAGAUUGUGUUCUCAUUAUUCUAUUUAUUGUACCAUUUGUUUCCCAGUGACAUUACGAGCCAACAAUGAAAACCUCGAUCCACCCUGUGUCCACAUAUUAUCUAGUUUGUGCGCUGUGGAGCUUGAAGCACUUCUCAGAAUUUCAGCACACUCGCAUUUAUUUCUUUCCCGACAGAAGAACAAUGCAAGUCUCACAUCUCGAUGAGGGUGGCGAUUUACCGUCUCACAUCUGGACGGUAAAACGUCGCAUCUGCGUACGUGUUCAGGGCCAAGAGCACGAGAACUGGCCGAAAGAAGGGAGCCGAUCCAACAAGAAUGCUAUGAUGCAGCAAUCACAUGGACUGUAUGGUUGCGUUGCACAAGGGCUGAUGCAAACGCUCCGUGCGAACAAUGUUGCAUGUAAAAUUAGUGCAUCUAUACAAUUGCAAAAUAAACAUCUAAA